GAACUGCUGUGAAGUGCUGUGUGGCCCCUUGCCCCCCAGUGUGCUGGAUCGAAGGGGUAUUUUGCCACUGGAGGAAAGUGGAAGUCGACCUCCCAGUACUCAAGAGACCAGUAGCAGCCUCUUGCCACAGAGCCCAGCCCCCACAGAACACCUGAACUCAAAUGAGAUGCCGGAGGACAGCAGCACUCCCGAAGAGAUGCCACCUCCAGAGCCCCCAGAGCCACCACAGGAGGCAGCUGAAGCUGAGAAGUAGCCUAUCUAUGGAAGAGACUUUUGUUUGUGUUUAAUUAGGGCUAUGAGAGAUUUCAGGUGAGAAGUUAAACCUGAGACAGAGAGCAAGUAAGCUGUCCCUUUUAACUGUUUUUCUUUGGUCUUUAGUCACCCAGUUGCACACUGGCAUUUUCUUGCUGCAAGCUUUUUUAAAUUUCUGAACUCAAGGCAGUGGCAGAAGAUGUCAGUCACCUCUGAUAACUGGAAAAAUGGGUCUCUUGGGCCCUGGCACUGGUUCUCCAUGGCCUCAGCCACAGGGUCCCCUUGGACCCCCUCUCUUCCCUCCAGAUCCCAGCCCUCCUGCUUGGGGUCACUGGUCUCAUUCUGGGGCUAAAAGUUUUUGAGACUGGCUCAAAUCCUCCCAAGCUGCUGCACGUGCUGAGUCCAGAGGCAGUCACAGAGACCUCUGGCCAGGGGAUCCUAACUGGGUUCUUGGGGUCUUCAGGACUGAAGAGGAGGGAGAGUGGGGUCAGAAGAUUCUCCUGGCCACCAAGUGCCAGCAUUGCCCACAAAUCCUUUUAGGAAUGGGACAGGUACCUUCCACUUGUUGUAUUUAUUAGUGUAGCUUCUCCUUUGUCUCCCAUCCACUCUGACACCUAAGCCCCACUCUUUUCCCAUUAGAUAUAUGUAAGUAGUUGUAGUAGAGAUAAUAAUUGACAUUUCUCGUAGACUACCCAGAAACUUUUUUAAUACCUGUGCCAUUCUCAAUAAGAAUUUAUGAGAUGCCAGCGGCAUAGCCCUUCACACUCUCUGUCUCAUCUCUCCUCCUUUCUCAUUAGCCCCUUUUAAUUUGUUUUUCCUUUUGACUCCUGCUCCCAUUAGGAGCAGGAAUGGCAGUAAUAAAAGUCUGCACUUUGGUCAUUUCUUUUCCUCAGAGGAAGCCUGAGUGCUCACUUAAACACUAUCCCCUCAGACUCCCUGUGUGAGGCCUGCAGAGGCCCUGAAUGCACAAAUGGGAAACCAAGGCACAGAGAGGCUCUCCUCUCCUCUCCUCUCCCCC
rnacentral:lncRNA from 1 species